rnacentral:tRNA from 1 species
GUUAAAGUGGCAGAGCCCGGAUAAUGCAAGAGACCUAAACCCUCUGAACGGGGGUUCAAUUCCCCCCCUUAACU